CUGUGCUUGUGUGUACAGAUGCAUAUAGGCCAAAAGAAGGACCCACAUGGCUUCAUUCAUAACCUUACAACUUUUUUUUAUAGAUCUUUAUACCCAGGAAUUUGUCUGUUCCUUCUAAAUCAUCUAGAAUUUCUCAAAGGAAAAGAUAAUUCAUUGUCCUGUUGCCUAAAAGCAGUUGCUGCAGAUGUUUGGAGAGAAGGUGUAUAUAAACACCCUGAAGAGAUAAUGUCUCUCACCAGCAUGGAACUCACCAAGCAGGCUAGGCAGGCGAGGCUGCUCAGCGAACCCUAGAGAUUUGUCUGUCUCCAUGUUUCCAACCCUGGCAUUACCAGCUUGCUGCAACACACCUGGCAUCUGGGGAGAGAACUCAGGUCUCUAUGCUUGAGAGGCAAGUAUUUUACUAACUGAUCCAUCUCCAUAGUUGUUCUUUAUAUUUUUAACCUAAAAAGAAAAGAAAAAGAAAAAGAAACGUGUAGCUUCCUUUCAAAGGAUGAGGCUCUACAGAUUGUUAAAUUGCUUCAGGAGACCAGCUUGGUUAGAGGAGAGCCUUAAAAACUUACACGUGAAAAGAUUUAAAGCAUGAGGAAAAUCACACCUGGGCUGAUUCUAAAAUUCCCCCAAAAUGGGAUUUUUUGUUUUGUUUUAUGGGUUUUUUUUAAAUAAAAGGGCUUUUCUUCUUCUUUUGGUACUUGGUUGAAUUUCAGAACUUUAGGAAAUUCUUUGGGUCAUCUGGUUGACCUUUAAGCACUUUCUACUUGCCAAACUCCUAAUUUCUCUGAUAUAGAAUACAUUGGAUUUUUAAGUAGGGGCUUUCCAAUUUACCCUUAAGUUAUCCCCAUCUCUUUAUCUGGUGACUUCCAUUUUAAGAUUUCAAUUUUAGUGAGACAAUUUCAAAGACCGUUAUUCUAUGACAUUAACAUAUGAACUAAUAUUACUUUUAUUUAAUAAUUUGAUGUGGAGAAAAUAAAAUAUAAAGAUGGAAUGCCUAAUGAAACCAGGGUUUCCAGAAGGAAGAGCCAACAGCAGCAGUAAAUUAUAGUUAUUUUUUGACCAAGAAUUUAAACCUUGUUAUUAAAAUAUUAUUUCUUAUGAAAUAUUUAGUGAUUGAUUAUUUUACAGAUUUCAGGACAUAUCAUUUAGUAAACCACUUAGGAAAAAGAAUUCAUGUCUAGAUGUUUAGCAUAGACAUUUCAACAAUGAAAACUGUUUUUACACCUCAUAGAAGGGCUUAAAACUUACAUAAGAAAUGGUGUGGUGUCAGAGGCAGUUAUAUGAACAGGACAUCUCUACCAUCCCUAGGUUUGGGACAAUAGAAUUUGGUGUUGUCAGAAUUCAGAAGCUGGGUUGCCUGGUGAGAGUUGGGACUACAGCAGGAAGGGCAUAGUUGGUGGGAUCUAGUUUCUUUGGAGUUACUAAUUCCUCGGUAAACUCCAAAAGUGUCUCGGGAAUGUGUCCUAACUGUGAUUCUAAGAGAGGAAAGGGAGUGAAUUUAUCUGAAAACCUUCCAGUAAAUGACUGGAUUAAUGAGAACCAGUAGUGAUGUCAACUGACUCAGUGAUAUAUGAGUUCUCAGAGUCAGAGAUGAGACAGCUGGCCUAUUGUCAGUGUGCAGCUGGAUAGCUGCUCUAGAAGAGUGGCUGAUUGCAUGAUUACACUUUCCUCCUGGCUUAUUUCCUGAAGGUGCACUGUAUCCAUCCAUAAUGGGCAUGAAGACAUCCAGUGUCUAUAGUCAAGGUGUGAAACUCAACAACGUGGGACCACAAGCAUCAGGCUCAAUGUAGUGACGCUCUCUUUUUCCUGAAAAAGAGGCUAUUCCUGUCAGUAGCUUCUGAGUCAUGUCCAGGGAAGCACAGCCUCUCUCCAUGGAUUCCUACAGCCAGGUUUUCCUAUGACUCCUUGAAAAUGGCAGUGCAGCCUGAAUCUGCUUUAAUACUGGUUUCUUCCCAAGCUGAGUGAAUCUGACCCCUUUCUAACUUGGAACAAAUCACACAUACAAAAUGAAGAUGAAAUGCCUCCAUCCAGCAGCAUAAUCAAGACCAACUGAGAAAGGUUAGCCACGGUCAAAGGAAAUUGAUGAAGAGUGGCUAUUAAGGCAUAGAGCAUAUGUACGCAGAGUACAGUUAAAUAACGGUGAGGUGUGGCCUCUGUGUCUGCAGCUGUGAAAUGUGCCAAGUCACAGCACCUGUUCCGGGACAGAUGUGCUGUGCAGUUAAUGAAGCCUCACCUUUGGGUACCUCUCACGUUCUUUGAGCUUUCUCUUAAGCCCUUGCAGCCAAGUUUCCAGGUUUAAAAUAAAAGACGUCUCGUUAAAUUUGCACAUCAGAUUUUUACAAAGAGUAUGCUUAGUAGGCCUGUGGAAGAAAUUCUGCAGAACCAGAAAGGGACGUGUUAGAAAUCUCAGGUCGUCUGCUACACUGUGGAAGACAGUCUGUGACUUACACUCCUUGUACUUUACUUAAGCAUUAAAAAGAAGGAGAAGAAUCCCGUUGGGCCAUAAGCUACAACAGGAUUGAUUUUUGGCUCCCUGGUAUUUGGAAUUCACACACUGAAACAGCAAAACUCCAUGACACGUGAUCCAUCAGACAGCAAGGCCCAAGGAUGCAGGGUGGUUUUUCUUCCAUGUUGCUUGCUGCUUUGUCAAAAGUUCUUAAAACAAGGCCUGUGCUUAGCAGGUAUUUAUCAGAAGAUUUCUUAUGAUAAGAUAAAUUCAAACGGGAAUGUCAUUUACAGAUGAUGUAAAGAAAUGCUAGCCAGAGGAAGAAGUGACAGAAAAAAAAUGAUAGCUGUGCAAAGCGACCAAGGAAGAGUUGAAGCCUGAAGGUCCGCCUGGAGAGUCUGAGUAAUGAAGAUGAAAACCACAGAUCAGAAGGAAUUCAAGGAAAUUUAUGCUCUGGGUUAGGCUGCUCCUCAAGGCAACAGCAUUAACAACCAUGGUGGUAGAACGGCAGUGCAGCAUCUAUCCAGGUUCGAAGAAGGGAGGGCACUGUGACAGAACCUGUGUAUACCAAAGAUGAAGACUAAUAAGAGAAGUGUGUAAAACCGAAGUCUUCUAGGAUUACCCACAUGUGGGACGUGCAGAGCCUACAAGUGGGCGGCCUCACAAAGUGGGGCUGAAGGUGGACGUUAAGACCAACUGCACAUGGUCACAAAGAAUAGCCCUUUGUUCAGUUUUAUCAUUUUCACCUUUGUGCACGUAUUUGUAAGUAAGUAUGUUCAUGUGAGUGCGGAUGACCGUCUUAGAGCUGGAGGUAUUGGUGGCUGUAAACUGGCUGAUUGAUAAAGGGGCUGGGAACAACUUGGGUGUUUUGUAAGAGCACACUGUAUGUUCUAAACCAUGAUGUCAUUUCAUCUCUCCAUCCCCCACUCAUUUUAAAGAUUGUAUUUGUGUGUGUGUGUGUGUGUGUGUGUGUGUGUGUGUGUGUGUGUGUUUCCAUGUGCACAACCAUCACACGGAUGUGGGUACCCAAGAAGACAGAAGAGGUCAUUGGAUCUCCUGCACCAUAAGUCAUCUGACAUGGGUGUGGGAACUGAACUCCGUUCCUCUGGAGGAACAAGAAACAAUCUUAAUUAGUGAGCAAUGUCUCUACCCACAAAGAGACAGUUUCAAGGCAAUGAAAAUAUUCUAAACCUCAAUCAUGGUGAUGAUUGUACAAUUUACUUAAAAUCAAAACACAAAAAAAACUAAGGAUUUAUUUUACAUAUUAAAGAUCAGUGAGUGAUAUGCUGUUUAAGCAUGCGAAUUUCUUGGCAUAUAAUUCUAAUCUUAAAAAAAAUGUUAGACACAACAACAAAAUUCAAGAGAUAAGGGACAGAAAGGAAAUCAAUAUGGUUAUAGGAGCUUUGCUAGUGUAUCAGGAAAUAAAUUGACCAAAGUCUUGUAGCCUGAAGGAAGCAGAGCAUGAACUUUAGUAAGAGAGGAUUUGGCUCCAAGUUAACACUGGAUGAAGGCAGUGGUAUCAGUUGGGGGGUAAUGGUAGAUUAAUGAGAAGGGAAUACGUUUUAUUUGAAAAACUUCCUGUAAUGGUUUUGAUGCUUUUCUUAGAAAAAAGAGUGUGCAGGAAGGUAGCAAUUUUGAAAACUUAAUUUAGUGAUGGAGCGACAGAUGGAAUCUUUCAAAAAGGCCAGAUGGCAGCAUGAGUGUGAUUAUGCACUGGGUAGGGUGGGUCUAGGUUGGAGGUAUGGGAAAGAAAAGAAAGGGAGUCAUGGAAGGUGAAAGAGUCCUGCCUGAAUGAGUUACCCCACUUUAUUCCAAAGGCCUUUGUGCCUUUACAAAGGAACUUCUUCACAGUAAUUUACAAGGAUCAUACUUUCUCCCAAGCACAAUCCAAGGCUUAUAUUUAUAUAUUUAAUGAUGCUGUAGAUAGAACCUGUGGAUUC
rnacentral:sRNA from 1 species